rnacentral:lncRNA from 1 species
UUGAAAGUAAUGUUCUAUUGAAUUGAAAUGCAGAAAAGAAUUACAGAAAUGGAAAUGAUUACAAGACUCCUUUCCUCACUCACUAUUUGCCUGCCUACUUUGCCUCUCCUCGUUCUUAUUUAUAGCCAAUUCCUAACUACUUUUCCCCCUGCCACUUGCUUCUUAACAGAAUUCUGUUUCUCCUUCUCCCGCCUACUGCCUUCCUCCCUUCUUGAAUCUUGUAGAAUAUGUGAACCGUAUUGGGGGUUUAUCAAUACCCCCGGGGUCCAAAGACACCUUAUCCUCAAGGUGGAAGUCAGGGAAGUGUUGAAGAAUCAAUUCCACUGAUUCCCAUGUAGCAUCCGAUGAAGGUAAAUCUUUCCACUGUAUAAGCACUUCCUUGCUUGGGGCCUGCAAUGUUGCUGACCUCUGAACCCCCACGACCAGUUCAAGCUCCACAACCCACUCCAGAUUCUCGGUUAAAUGGGGAGGGAGCAGUUGACUAACUUCGUUUGACCCCAAAGCCUUUCUCAGCUAUGAUACAUGGAAGACGGUGUAUAGCUGCAGCAGGAGGUAGUCGUCAGUGGUAAGC